AUAAAUUUAACAUAAGGGAAAAGGUUUCGAGCUUUCGAUACAACUUGACGCUCAGAGUGAGACUGUUCCGUAGGAGAGUGAAGUCUAUGGAGAGAUCCAGUCAAAACAAAAACAACCUCUUCAACAAUAUUCCAAAUGGACCAGUAUCCAUGAUGAGUUUCUUCUGACACACAUGGGAAUUCCACUGAAGUGCCACCCAGCCCCGCAUCCGUGUGCAGUAGUGUUCAUGAUGAGUUUUGGAGGUCAAAUGACUACCUAAGUCCUAUAUCAUCAUCAGGUGGACUUCAACUGGAGGACAGCGACGUGUCCAAUGUUUUCAGAGAAAUAAACUCAAAUUUGACGGAGUUGCGGAGGAAAUUAGAUCAAUUUGAAGGAGCUUGUCUAGAGGAAACUAUGCAUGAACCACAUCCUGCAGAAGUUGAAACAGAUAUAGAGGACCAAUCUGAAGCCUACAUUAGAGAUUUGUUGAUUGCUGCUGGUCUGUAUGAUGAUUCAUUUAGUCGAUCGCUGUCAAAAUGGACACCACUUGGUAAGCCUAUCACCGCCCAGGUCUUCGAGGAAGUUGAAGAGAUGUAUAAAGAAAGCACCAAGGUUAAAGAUCAGGCA